rnacentral:rRNA from 1 species
GGGUGCGAUCAUACCAGCACUAAUGUAUCGGAUCCCAUCAGAAUUUCGCAAUUAAGCGUGCUUGGGCGAGAGUAGUAUUGGGAUGGGUGACCUCCUGGGAAGUCCUCGUGUUGCACCCC